CACGUAGUUAGGCCGGGGCUUCUUAGUCAGGUACCGUCAUUCUCUUCCCUGCUGAUAGAGCUUUACAUACCGAAAUACUUCUUCACUCACGCGGCGUUGCUGCAUCAGGGUUUCCCCCAUUGUGCAAUAUUCCCCACUGCUGCCUCCCGUAGGAGUUUGGGCCGUGUCUCAGUCCCAAUGUGGCCGGCCACCCUCUCAGGUCGGCUACUGAUCGUCGCCUUGGUGGGCCGUUACCUCACCAACCAGCUAAUCAGACGCGGGUCCAUCUCAUACCACCGGUAGUUUUUCACACCAGACCAUGCGUCCUGUGCGCUUAUGCGGUAUUAGCAGUCAUUUCUAACUGUUACUCCCCUGUAUGGAGGCAGGUUACCCACGUCGUUACUCCACCCGUCCGCCGCUCAGUCAUACACGCUUCCAUCCGAAAACUUCCACAUCUAUGCUUCGCUCGACUUGCACUGUGUUAACGCUACGCCGACCAGGCCUUACAUCCGUGACGCCGAGGUAA
rnacentral:rRNA from 1 species